rnacentral:rRNA from 1 species
UACAGAGGUCCCAAGCGUUGUUCGGAUUCAUUGGGCGUAAAGGGUGCGUAGGCGGCGCGGUAAGUCGGGUGUGAAAUCUCGGGGCUUAACUCCGAAACUGCAUUCGAUACUGCCGUGCUUGAGGACUGGAGAGGAGACUGGAAUUUACGGUGUAGCGGUGAAAUGCGCAGAUAUCAGGAGGAACACCAGCGGCGAAGGCGGCGCUCUGGGCCGGAACUGACGCUGAGGAGCGAAAGCGUGGGUAGCAAACAGG